rnacentral:lncRNA from 1 species
AAGGUAUAUGUUUUCAUUCCUUUUUAAAUAUUGAAAUUUUGGUUAAAUUUGGCUUUGGUCCCUCCAGUUCGGUGCGUUUAGUUUAGUCUUUCUUCAUGCUACAAUAUCAUUAUAAUAUCUGAUCUUAUCGCUAUUGCUGUUUUUAUACUAACUAUAUGUAAACGCACUGUCUAUGAUCCUAAAUUUAGCCAAAAAAAAAUUUUCAUAGUGGGGGAUCUUAAGAAAAGAAAGUAAUAAAUCUUCAAAAUUGGGGCAUUGCUUUCUCUUAAGUAAUCAAAUUUCAUAACCUUAAAAGAAAGUAAAUAAAAAGUGUGUACAAAGCAUUCACACAUGAAAUAAUGAGAUGAUUAAAUCACAUGGCCUUACUUUACUUAUUAAAAGUAUAUUAUUAUAUCAUAUAAUAUGGCCAAAGAUGUACUUAGGGGAACAUACUUGCCACACAUGAGUUUGAUAAAAAUAAUAAUUUUAUUUAUUUAUUAAAAUAAACCUUUUGAUUGUUCCCAUCAUGUGAUCAAAGGCCCUUACUUUGAUAAAAAAAAAUUAGUCACUUUCAUCAUAAUAUUAAAAAAUAUUAUUUUUAUGGGUGCAUCUAUAUUGUUGCCUUCUUUUUAA